rnacentral:rRNA from 1 species
UACAGGGGGUGCAAACGUUGCUCGGAAUUAUUGGGCGUAAAGCGCACGUAGGCGGUUUGUUAUGUCGGAUGUGAAAGCCCUUGGCUCAACUGAGGAAGUGCAUCCGAAACUGGCAAGCUAGAGUAUGUAAGAGGGUCGCGGAAUUCCCGGUGUAGUGGUGAAAUGCGUAGAUAUCGGGAGGAACACCAGUGGCGAAGGCGACUACCUGGCCUGUUCUUGACGCUGAGGCGCGAAAGCUAGGGGAGCAAACGGG